UACGAAGGGGGCUAGCGUUGUUCGGAUUUACUGGGCGUAAAGCGCACGUAGGCGGAUCGUUAAGUCGGGGGUGAAAUCCUGGAGCUCAACUCCAGAACUGCCUUCGAUACUGGCGAUCUUGAGUCCGGAAGAGGUGAGUGGAACUCCUAGUGUAGAGGUGGAAUUCGUAGAUAUUAGGAAGGAACACCCGUGGCGAAGGCGGCUCUCUGGGAGCGGUAUGACG
rnacentral:rRNA from 1 species